rnacentral:rRNA from 1 species
CCUACGGGAGGCAGCAGUGGGGAAUAUUGGACAAUGGGCGCAAGCCUGAUCCAGCCAUGCCGCGUGUGUGAAGAAGGUCUUCGGAUUGUAAAGCACUUUAAGUUGGGAGGAAGGGCAGUUACCUAAUACGUAUCUGUUUUGACGCUACCGACAGAAUAAGCACCGGCUAACUCUGUGCCAGCAGCCGCGGUAAU